GAAGAAGAAAUUGUGACUGACCGUCGGACGGGUGAGUAACGCGUGGGCAACCUGCCCCAUACAGGGGGAUAACAGCCGGAAACGGCUGCUAAAACCGCAUAAGCGCACAAGGGCCGCAUGGCCUGGUGUGAAAAACUCCGGUGGUAUGGGAUGGGCCCGCGUCUGAUUAGCUAGUUGGCGGGGGAGAGGCCCACCAAGGCGACGAUCAGUAGCCGACCUGAGAGGGUGGCCGGCCACAUUGGGACUGAGACACGGCCCAAACUCCUACGGGAGGCAGCAGUGGGGAAUAUUGCACAAUGGGGGAAACCCUGAUGCAGCGACGCCGCGUGAGCGAAGAAGUAUUUCGGUAUGUAAAGCUCUAUCAGCAGGGAAGAAAAAUGACGGUACCUGAGUAAGAAGCACCGGCUAAAUACGUGCCAGCAGCCGCGGUAAUACGUAUGGUGCAAGCGUUAUCCGGAUUUACUGGGUGUAAAGGGAGCGCAGGCGGUGCGGCAAGUCUGAUGUGAAAGCCCGGGGCUCAACCCCGGG
rnacentral:rRNA from 1 species